GUCUGCAGCCAUGUGACCCUGAAACAUGCCCGAUCUCGUCUGAUCUCGGAAGCUAAGCAGGAGCGGGCCUGGUUAGUACUUGGCUGGAGACCACCUAGGAAGACCAGGUGCUGCAGGCU
rnacentral:rRNA from 1 species